UCAGAGAGAAAUGGAUGUUCUCCUAAAUGGGAAGCCUUAAUUCUGUGUGUAAUUUAUAAGGCCAUGGAGAAGAGGAGACAGAGUGUGCAAGGGAAUGAAGAAAAGGAACAAGACUAUUUUCAAAUCACCCAUGGCACUACUAGAAAUGUAUUUCAGCAAAAGGACUGGCUGAUUUUAUGAUUCCUGUGUCCACCACAGCCCUCUAAUUUUUACAUAGGUACCCCACAUCUCUCUAGAUUUCAGGAAGACUAUUAUCCUUCGACUUUAGCUUUCUGAUGGGUUCACAAAAAGCCAUUAGUGUGAGAGCUACAGUUCUGAGAUGAAACCACAGGUAUUAAAAGGAAUCCAAUUGAACCAAGAAAGAACAUGCUGUAAGAAAUAGUUCAAUAGCAGAAGAUCCUUUAAUAGUAUGUGAAAGGAGAAAUAUUCUCAUAGUGAUGAAAAGAAGAAAAGAAAAGGAAAACCUGUAGGAUUUUAGAGCACCCUGACCAUCUGACCCAGGCAGACAC
rnacentral:lncRNA from 10 species